rnacentral:rRNA from 1 species
UGGGGAAUUUUGGACAAUGGGGGAAACCCUGAUCCAGCCAUCCCGCGUGUGCGAUGAAGGCCUUCGGGUUGUAAAGCACUUUUGGCAGGAAAGAAACGUCAUGGGUUAAUACCCCGUGAAACUGACGGUACCUGCAGAAUAAGCACCGGCUAACUACGUGCCAGCAGCCGCGGUAAUACGUAGGGUGCAAGCGUUAAUCGGAAUUACUGGGCGUAAAGCGUGCGCAGGCGGUUCGGAAAGAAAGAUGGGAAAUCCCAGAGCUCAACUUUGGAACUGCAUUUUUAACUACCGGGCUAGAGUGUGUCAGAGGGAGGUGGAAUUCCGAGUGUAGCAGUGAAAUGCGUAGAUAUGCGGAGGAACACCGAUGGCGAAGGCAGCCUCCUGGGAUAACACUGACGCUCAUGCACGAAAGCGUGGGGAGCAAACAGG